rnacentral:rRNA from 1 species
UACGAAGGGGGCUAGCGUUGUUCGGAAUCACUGGGCGUAAAGCGCACGUAGGCGGAUUGUUAAGUCGGGGGUGAAAUCCUGAGGCUCAACCUCAGAACUGCCUUCGAUACUGGCAAUCUCGAGUCCGGAAGAGGUUGGUGGAACAGCUAGUGUAGAGGUGAGAUUCGUAGAUAUUAGCUAGAACACCAGUGGCGAAGGCGGCCAACUGGUCCGGUACUGACGCUGAGGUGCGAAAGCGUGGGGAGCAAACAGG